GAGUAACACGUGGGUGAUCUGCCCUGCACUUCGGGAUAAGCCUGGGAAACUGGGUCUAAUACCGGAUAGGACCACGGGAUGCAUGUCUUGUGGUGGAAAGCGCUUUAGCGGUGUGGGAUGAGCCCGCGGCCUAUCAGCUUGUUGGUGGGGUGACGGCCUACCAAGGCGACGACGGGUAGCCGGCCUGAGAGGGUGUCCGGCCACACUGGGACUGAGAUACGGCCCAGACUCCUACGGGAGGCAGCAGUGGGGAAUAUUGCACAAUGGGCGCAAGCCUGAUGCAGCGACGCCGCGUGGGGGAUGACGGCCUUCGGGUUGUAAACCUCUUUCACCAUCGACGAAGGUCCGGGUUCUCUCGGAUUGACGGUAGGUGGAGAAGAAGCACCGGCCAACUACGUGCCAGCAGCCGCGGUAAUACGUAGGGUGCGAGCGUUGUCCGGAAUUACUGGGCGUAAAGAGCUCGUAGGUGGUUUGUCGCGUUGUUCGUGAAAUCUCACGGCUUAACUGUGAGCGUGCGGGCGAUACGGGCAGACUAGAGUACUGCAGGGGAGACUGGAAUUCCUGGUGUAGCGGUGGAAUGCGCAGAUAUCAGGAGGAACACCGGUGGCGAAGGCGGGUGUCUGGGCAGUAACUGACGCUGAGGAGCGAAAGCGUGGGGAGCGAACAGGAUUAGAUACCCUGGUAGUCCACGCCGUAAACGGUGGGUACUAGGUGUGGGUUUCCUUCCUUGGGAUCCGUGCCGUAGCUAACGCAUUAAGUACCCCGCCUGGGGAGUACGGCCGCAAGGCUAAAACUCAAAGGAAUUGACGGGGGCCCGCACAAGCGGCGGAGC
rnacentral:rRNA from 1 species